CCUACGGGUGGCAGCAGUGGGGAAUAUUGCACAAUGGGGGAAACCCUGAUGCAGCGACGCCGCGUGAGUGAUGAAGGAUUUCGGUAUGUAAAGCUCUAUUAGUAGGGAAGAAGAAAGAGGGUACUUGACCAUGAAGCCCCGGCUAACUACGUGCCAGCAGCCGCGGUAAUACGUAGGGGGCAAGCUUUAUCCGGAUUUACUGGGGGUAACGGGAGCGUAGACGGUUGUGCAAGUCUGAAGUGAAAGCCCAGGGCUCAACCUUGGGAUUGCUUUGGAACCGUGUGAGCUAGAGUGCUGGUGAGGUAAGUGGAAUUCCUGGGGGAGCGGGUAAAUGCG
rnacentral:rRNA from 1 species